GGGGGUUCAAUUAAGCAGAGGAAGUACCUUUUGUAUUGUGAAUCUUUUAAGAUAUCGGAAAUUCGUUACCGGCUGAAUCAGCUGUUAGACUUGUUUUUUUAACGUCUCCCGAUCGUACGAGAACAUUAUGGUCAAUGCCUUAGUAGGUAAACACUCCCAUUCAUGGUAGCAGGGACUUUCUAUACUAAGCAUAUACUAGACUAGAUAUAGGGAGAUGUGGUGUGAGUGCCAAUGAGACAACUCUCCAUCCAAAUAACAAUUUAUAAAAGUAAACCAUUAUAGGUUAAUGUACGGCCUUCAACAUGGAGCCUUGACUCACACUGAACAAAAAGCUAUAAAGGGUCCCA
rnacentral:lncRNA from 1 species